GCUGGUGGUCAUAGCGUGAGGGAUACACCCGUUCCCAUCCCGAACACGGAAGUUAAGCCUCACAGCGCGGAUGGUACUGCCGGGGGGACCCGGUGGGAGAGUACGACGCCGCCAGCU
rnacentral:rRNA from 1 species